CCUACGGGCGGCUGCAGUGGGGAAUAUUGCACAAUGGGCGCAAGCCUGAUGCAGCCAUGCCGCGUGUGUGAAGAAGGCCUUCGGGUUGUAAAGCACUUUCAGCGGGGAGGAAGGCGUUAAGGUUAAUAACCUUGGCGAUUGACGUUACCCGCAGAAGAAGCACCGGCUAACUCCGUGCCAGCAGCCGCGGUAAUACGGAGGGUGCAAGCGUUAAUCGGAAUUACUGGGCGUAAAGCGCACGCAGGCGGUCUGUCAAGUCGGAUGUGAAAUCCCCGGGCUCAACCUGGGAACUGCAUUCGAAACUGGCAGGCUAGAGUCUUGUAGAGGGGGGUAGAAUUCCAGGUGUAGCGGUGAAAUGCGUAGAGAUCUGGAGGAAUACCGGUGGCGAAGGCGGCCCCCUGGACAAAGACUGCCGCUCAGGUGCGAAAGCGUGGGGAGCAAACAGGAUUAGAUACCCGAGUAGUC
rnacentral:rRNA from 1 species